rnacentral:rRNA from 1 species
AACGAACGCUGGCGGCAGGCCUAACACAUGCAAGUCGAGCGCAGUCCUUCGGGACCGAGCGGCGGACGGGUUAGUAACGCGUGGGAACAUACCCUUUUCUACGGAAUAGCCUCGGGAAACUGAGAGUAAUACCGUAUAAGCCCUUCGGGGGAAAGAUUUAUCGGGAAAGGAUUGGCCCGCGUUAGAUUAGAUAGUUGGUGGGGUAAUGGCCUACCAAGUCUACGAUCUAUAGCUGGUUUUAGAGGAUGAUCAGCAACACUGGGACUGAGACACGGCCCAGACUCCUACGGGAGGCAGCAGUGGGGAAUCUUAGACAAUGGGCGCAAGCCUGAUCUAGCCAUGCCGCGUGUGUGAUGAAGGUCUUAGGAUCGUAAAGCACUUUCGCCAGGGAUGAUAAUGACAGUACCUGGUAAAGAAACCCCGGCUAACUCCGUGCCAGCAGCCGCGGUAAUACGGAGGGGGUUAGCGUUGUUCGGAAUUACUGGGCGUAAAGCGUACGUAGGCGGAUCAGAAAGUUAGGGGUGAAAUCCCGAGGCUCAACCUCGGAACUGCCUCUAAAACUCCUGGUCUUGAGUUCGAGAGAGGUGAGUGGAAUUCCAAGUGUAGAGGUGAAAUUCGUAGAUAUUUGGAGGAACACCAGUGGCGAAGGCGGCUCACUGGCUCGAUACUGACGCUG